GCUUGUCUCAAAGAUUAAGCCAUGCAUGUCUAAGUAUAAACGCUUUAUACUGUGAAACUGCGAAUGGCUCAUUAUAUCAGUUAUAGACUAUUCAAUAAUCUCUUACUACUUGGAUAACCGUAGUAAUUCUAGAGCUAAUACAUGCGUCAGAACCCAACUUUACGGAAGGGUCGUGUUUAUUAGAUACAAAACCAACAUCUCGUUGGUGAUUCAUAAUAACCAAGCGAAUCGUCGGUUUACCGACGAUAGAUCGUUCAAGUUUCUGACCUAUCAGCUUUGGUCGGUAGGGUAUUGGCCUACCGAGGCAAUGACGGGUAACGGAGAAUUAGGGUUCGAUUCCGGAGAGGGAGCCUGAGAAACGGCUACCACAUCUAAGGAAGGCAGCAGG
rnacentral:rRNA from 1 species